GGCUCUGUGGUGUAGUGGUAGCACACGCCCCCGGUAUGGGUGAGAUGCGGGUUCAACUCCGGCCUGCAGUCG